rnacentral:rRNA from 1 species
AUGGCGGCCGCGCUGGAGUGCUGGUCGGGCCGGCCGAGCACCGACGAGGAGUCCAUGGUGGAGCAGGUUCUCAUGAAGCCCCACGCCCGCUCGGACGGUUCGCUCCCCACCUGCGCUGACUCGGUCGGCGCGGGUGACCCGAUUUCGGGCCCGGCGGCGCCCAAGAAGUGGCAGCGCCUGGGCCGCAACUUCGCCGGCGCCAUCGCGGCAUUCAAGAACACGCUCAACCUGGACAACGGCGGCGUCCCCCGCGACCCCUCGCCGCGCGCCGGCGGCGAGAAGCCGCCGCUCCUCCUCCGCGGCCUCGCGCAGCUCUACUCCCGUGGCGCCGCAGCCCAGCAGCUGCCGGAGAAGCUCGUUUCUGACCUCCGCCGCCACUUCGAUGCUCUUCCCAACAGCUACGCACAGGCAGGAUUUGACAUGAAAGAUGUCCUCUUGCACGCCCGCCUUGUAGAGCAGGCGGCCGGUGAGGAUCAGCCUGCACUGAGCAUCGAGGAAGUUCAUGGCAGCAAUGGCAGAGAAAGUGGUGCCGAGGGCACUGUAUUUCAGCUCACCUUUGCCUGCAACGCCCCACUUUCAUGGCAGUCAAUGUCAGGCUCACUCGACAGCCCAUUGUUCAGUUGCAAGAAGAUCCAGAUCUUCGAGAAGAGAGGACUGACACUUGGUGUCGUCCUGAUAAUUGUGCAAUCCGGGAGCGAGGAGCUCUUCAAGAGCCGGGUCGAGGCCGCGCUAAAAUCGGCGACAAAGAAGCAUCGGAAGAACAGUGGAGGCGGCGGUGGCGGUGUGAAGCUCCCCUUCGGGCUCUGCGGCUGCCAGGAAGAAGGAUCGCGCAACUUCGACGAGGAGUCCAUGUUUGAUCCCGAGGAAGGCCAGGAUCUUGACAAUGAGCCUGCUCGCAGGCCAUACCUUCCCACUCCCCUACCACAAUCAUCAGUCUUUGUCUCAGUAGAUGAGUGGCAGACCGUCCGAUCCGGGGGCGAGGAGCUCGGCCGCUGGAUUGUGAGCUCCGAGGAGAUCGAAUUCGUCGACUGGGUUGGCCAAAACUCGUUCAGGGGAGUCCACAGAGGAAGGAAGGUUUGGGUUAACAAAAUGAGGGGUUGCAACAUGGGCAGUGCUUACGAUGUCGAGAUCCGUCAGGACUUGCUGCAACUGAUGAGCUGCGGUCAGAAGAACAUCCUCCAGUUCCAUGGCAUCUGCUUCAACGAGAGCCAUGGCCUCUGCAUAGUGACUAGGAUGAUGGAAGGGGGCUCGGUUCAUGACAUCAUUAUGCAGAGAAACAAGAGACUGUCGCUCCGGGACACGAUUAGGAUUGCUCUUGAUGUUGCUGAUGGCUUGGCGUUCAUGAACGGCUACGGCAUUGCGUACCGUGAUCUUAACGCACGAAGGAUCCUGCUAGACAGACAGGGAAAUGCCUGCCUUGGGGAUAUGGGCAUUGUUACCCCUUGUAAUAAUGCUGGCGAGGUUACUGAGUAUGAGACGUCUGGGUAUCGCUGGCUAGCUCCAGAGAUCAUUGCUGGAGAUCCAGAAAGCGUAUCGGAGACCUGCAUGAGCAACGUCUACAGCUACGGCAUGGUUCUGUGGGAGAUGGUGACCGGCGAGGAGGCCUACUCGACGUACUCGCCGGUGCAGGCGGCGGUGGGGAUCGCGGCGUGCGGGCUGAGGCCGGAGAUACCGAGGGACUGCCCGCCGUUCCUGAGGUCGCUGAUGAGCCGGUGCUGGGACAAUUGCCCUCUCAAACGCCCUCAGUUCUCGGAGAUCAUAUCCACCCUGCAAAAGCAGAGCCUGAGAUAG